UACGUAGGGGGCUAGCGUUGUCCGGAGUUACUGGGCGUAAAGGGCAUGCAGGCGGUCCGACACGUUUUGUGUGACAGCGGGUGGCUUAACUACCCGGAGGAUACGAAAGACGGUAGGACUUGAGGACUCGAGAGGGACACGGAAUUCCGGGUGGAGUGGUGAAAUGCGUAGAGAUCCGGAGGAACACCAAAGGCGAAGGCAGUGUCCUGGCGAGUGACUGACGCUGAGGUGCGAAAGCCAGGGGAGCGAACGGG
rnacentral:rRNA from 1 species